rnacentral:hammerhead_ribozyme from 1 species
UCACUGCUGAGGGGUCCCAUAAUAGGACGAAACGGCCCGUCCAGUGC